rnacentral:rRNA from 1 species
UUCCGUAGGUGAACCUGCGGAAGGAUCAUUGAAUCUAUCAAUACCAACACUGUGAACUAUUACUGUCGGUCCGCGGACGCUGACUUAAUUGACAGCGGACGUGCAGCCUUAGCUUCGCGGCUUUGGCUGGGUUCCCUUUGGGCACCUUUCGGUGGGCAUUGGGCGCUGGCCUCUUUUACCUACCAAACACCAAACAAACAUUAUAUAACUUAACGUGUCGUCGGCCUGGCCGCGAUGCAUUAACCGAGACAACUCUCAACAACGGAUAUCUUGGCUCUCGCAACGAUGAAGAACGCAGCGAAAUGCGAUACGUAGUGUGAAUUGCAGAAUUCCGUGAAUCAUCGAAUCUUUGAACGCAUAUUGCGCUCGAGGCUUCGGCCAAGAGCAUGUCUGCCUCAGCAUCGGGUUAAUAUCAUCCCACUCUAACCUUUGGUUAGACCACGGAUGGACCUGGCCGUUCCACGCGCUGUCCCUCACUCGUGAGUGCCAGUGUGGAUUGGCUGAAGCGCAGAGACGACUCGGGACCCGCUAUGGGCCGCAAUUGGGUAGGCGCUGUCCUCGUGACACUGUCAAUGCUUAAUUGUUGGCUUGGGCACCGACUGGCCGUCCAAACCAAGGAUAACACCUUAACCCUAUUACCUCGAUCUGAGCUCAGGCAAGAUUACCCGCUGAACUUAAGCAUAUCAUAAGCGGA